UACGUAGGGUGCAAGCGUUGUCCGGAAUUAUUGGGCGUAAAGAGCUCGUAGGCGGUCUGUUGCGUCGGCUGUGAAAACCCGAGGCUCAACCUCGGGCCUGCAGCCGAUACGGGCAGACUAGAGUUCGGCAGGGGAGACUGGAAUUCCUGGUGUAGCGGUGAAAUGCGCAGAUAUCAGGGAGGGAACACCGGUGGGCGAAGGCGGGUCUCUGGGCCGAGUAC
rnacentral:rRNA from 1 species